UACGGAGGGAGCUAGCGUUAUUCGGAAUUACUGGGCGUAAAGCGCACGUAGGCGGCUUUGUAAGUUAGAGGUGAAAGCCUGGAGCUACAACUCCAGAAUUGCCUUUAAGACUGCAUCGCUUGAAUCCAGGAGAGGUGAGUGGAAUUCCGAGUGUAGAGGUGAAAAUUCGUAGAUAUUCGGAAGAACACCAGUGGCGAAGGCGGCUCACUGGACUGGUAUUGACGCUGAGGUGCGAAAGCGUGGGGAGCAA
rnacentral:rRNA from 1 species